UAUUACUCGAGACAUGCAGCACGCAAUGAGUCUUACUGCAGUUAUCAAAUACACGCGCGCGUGCCUGUGAGCGCACGAAAAGCCUCACAACUGAAGGUAGGGCGAACGCAUGUGCAACGUCACGUGGCUCGCUGAGACUCCAAGUGAAGGUGAAAAAAAACGUCUCUUGAAGUCUUUCGGAAAGCAUUUGCAGUCAACUAAAGGUGAACGUGCGUAUCUUCAAGUAGAUUCAUGGGGAAAACUCUGCGGCAUGAGAAGACCUAAAUGGCCAGGUUGCAGCACCAGCUUCCAGUUCAAUGGAAUCAUUUUUGUACCCCUAGUGAAAGCACUCUUCCUUUGGAAACUAAGACCUCUAAACCAACAGCGCACAAAGGAGCUCUGCAUCUAACUUAUCCAGAUUGAAUCAAGCCUGGGAAUCAUUGGAGGAUCUAGGACUAUCUACUCUUGGGUUGAAGUCAGAAGUCUUUACUCCAGGCCUGGAGCUUUUUUUGUUCAUACAAGCCAAGUAAGACAUUAGUGGGGUGUCUACAUAUUUCAAUCCUAGGAAGAUUACAAUGAAUUAGCCAAUGCCAAAGAGCAAGCUAUUCUGAUUAUCUCUUUAGCUCUGUCCAUUAUUACAAUGUUUCCCUUGUUUCUGGUAGUUAAGAUAGUUAAGUCACGUCACUUGGUGCCUGUCAUUCCAGUGUCCCAAUAUCCCCAGUGAAUUCAAGGGACACAGUUUAAUGAGAGCAUUAAUGGCUUAUAGAGAAUGGCUAAUACAAAACCGUGCACAGAUGUUGUUGUUUGCUUCAACAAUGCAUUUCUUAAAGCCUUGAUGAAGGAAAUGUCUUCUGAACCCUCCUAGGUCAUAAGUAGGGGAUGGCUGAACAGUUCUUACAUAAUGCAUCCGCUCCAGCAUUCCAACUCCUUAACUUGUGGAUACCUUCCAUUUAUAUAGUGAAGGAUGGAUUUAUGAAAGACGUGAGCGUCAGGAACAACUUGACAGAAAACAAACGGUUUCACAGUUUAGGUGUGUGGGUAGAAUUCUGAGUAAUAUAGGACAAGACAGAAAGACAGAAAUGAAAGUACAGUAGUUCCCCCCCCCAUUCCAUGGUUUCACUUUCCAUGGUUUCAGUCACCCUCUGUCAACUGUAGUCCGUAGGCAGAUGAUCCUCCCUCUGACUUAUCACCAGAAGGUGAAUGGUAGCCUAACACUAAUUCACAGCGCCCAUGUCAUUCACCUUAUUUCAUCUCGUCAUGUAGGCAUUUUAUCAUCUCAUCAUCACAAGUGGAAGGAUGGGUACAGUACAAUAAGAUAUUUUGAGAGAGAGAAAGACCAUAUUCACAUAACUUCUUUACGGUGUAUUAUUGUAAUUGUUCUAUUUUAUUAUUGUUGUUGUUACUCUCUUACUGCACCUAAUUUAUAAAUUAAACUAUCAGAGGUAGAUAUGUAUGAAUAGGAAAAAAAAACAUAGUACAUGUGGGGUUCAAUACUACCUGUGGUUUUGGGGUCUUGGAAUAUAUCCCCUGCAGAUAAGGGGAAAAUAACGAGGAGAUUUGGGCAGACAUACUCAGUAGAUUAUGCAUGACCCAUAGACGUUUGGUGGUGGAAGAAAAGAAGUGGCAAUAACCCAAAUUGAAGAGUGCUGCUUCUGGGAAAAUGAGGAGAAUCUGUGAAUGAAACAGAGAUUUGGGAACAGGCAAUAUACAUGACAUAAAAGGGAGCAGCAGGUCAAAAAUUAUUUUGAGGUUAAGUUGGAGGUUGGUAAUACUGUGGCGUUAGUAACGAAGAUGGGGAAACCAUAGAAAGAAGGCAUAUGGAAGAGAAUAGUUUGAAGGUUAGAUGGGAAAAGAUGUGACAGUACUGAACAAUUCUAAAAAUAUAACUGUCAGAGAAGGCUUAGGGAAAACUAUUGCAGUGGCUGUUUUUCUAACU